GUACCGAAAGUUUGGUCAGUCCACAUCGGUGAAGAUACAUCUCCUUGAAGACCACUUUUUGGAGCAGAUACAGCUCUGGGGGAUGUUUUCUGGAUCUUUCAAUGAGCAAGGUGGUGAGAGUACUCACUCCCUUUUUAAGAAUCACGAACACAUGACAAACCAUGUUCGUAAUGACGAAGACCGAGUUGUGAAAAAGUGCGAGCUAGCAACACGGAAAUACCUGUUGAAAGUGAAAUCCAAGCUGUGUGACUGAAAUGGGUCAAUCAUGAUGGAUUUAGUGUUUGGGACAAUCUGCUAUAUGCCUAAAAUUGAAAGAUUGUUAAUUUGGUGAUGCUUCACCCUCUGUUCAUAUUUUCUACUUGAUCAAUAAUGAUAUUCGCCACAUAUUAUGUAAAACGCCGCUUAUGUUUUGCCAUUAAAAUUUUUUCGUUAUAGUAGUGACUGCGACUGAAACCGCGCAUCACGCAAGUUUUUGUCGCCGCGCGAGGGUGAUUCAAUUUUGUCCACUUCGCCAUAAUUCUCAGAGGAUGUAAUUUGACGAGUGCGGGACAAUUUUGAGCGCAAGGAAUCACUUGAAUCGAAGAUAACGAUUGAGCUGACAAUUUCUCCGGUAAAAAUUAGACCUUAGAUAACUGAAUUGGGAUGACAUCGGAAAUAACUCUGAUGCGAGCAGGAAUACACUAUGUCAUACUCAUAGCAGUAAUACUUAGACGUGAAUAUUAAUAUCCGAUGGAUCAAAUUAGUGUAUAUGUUAUCAUUAUUAUAUAUAUAAAGUGUGCCUCACUGGGGCACCCUUAAGUAACAGUUCCAGCUCGAUAGGCCUCGUAACCGGGAUGGAUAGAGACAAACGAAAUACAUCAUCUCGUCACAAGCAAUCAGAUCUAAGUUAAACGAUAAGGCCAGGACAUACUAUGAGCAUUGAAUUAACUGUCAAAAUGGUAACCUGAGCCCUAGAGGUGAUCACAUGCUAUAAGCCUAACGGAAAAGUAUUCUAAAAAUAUAAAUCUAAUCGUUAAGUUAAACACAUUUGA